GGACCCGCACAAGCGGUGGAGCAUGUGGCUUAAUUCGAUGCAACGCGAAGAACCUUACCUGGGCUUGACAUGUUAGUCGUAGAUUUGUGAAAGCUUAUCGUCACUUCGGGUGGACUAUCACAGGUGCUGCAUGGCUGUCGUCAGCUCGUGUCGUGAGAUGUUGGGUUAAGUCCCGUAACGAGCGCAACCCCUAUGAACUGUUGCCAGCGGAUAAUGCCGGGGACUCUGUUCAGACUGCCCAGAUUAACUGGGAGGAAGGAGGGGAUGACGUCAAGUCAGUAUGGCCCUUACGCCCAGGGCUGCACACGUGCUACAAUGUCCAGUACAAUGUGAACCGAUGCCGCGAGGUGGAGGAAA
rnacentral:rRNA from 1 species